rnacentral:rRNA from 1 species
CCUACGGGUGGCAGCAGUGAGGAAUAUUGGUCAAUGGGCGGGAGCCUGAACCAGCCAAGCCGCGUGAGGGAAGAAGGUACAGCGUAUCGUAAACCUCUUUUGUCAGGGAACAAAGGCGGGGACUAGUCCCCGGAUGAGGGUACCUGAAGAAAAAGCAUCGGCCAACCCCGGGCCAGCAGCCGCGGUAAUACGGAGGAUGCGAGCGUUUUCCGAAUUGAUUGGGUUAAAGGGGUGCGUAGGCGGCCUGUUAAUUCAGCGGUAAAAGCCCGGGGCUCAACCCCGGCGGGCCGUUGAAACUGGCGGGCUGGAGUUGUAGAGAGGGACGCGGAAUGCGCAGUGUAGCGGUGAAAUGCUUAGAUAUCGCGCAGAACCCCGAUUGCGAAGGCAGCGUACCGGCUCCACACUGACGCUGAGGCACGAAAGCGUGGGUAUCGAACAGGAUUAGAUACCCGGGUAGUC